UACGGAGGGUGCGAGCGUUGUCCGGAAUCACUGGGCGUAAAGGGCGCGUAGGUGGCGCUGCAAGUCGGUGGUGAAAGCUCGACGCUUAACGUCGAGUCGGCAAUCGAAACUGCAGGGCUCGAGCACUGUAGGGGCAGAUGGAAUUCCGGGUGUAGCGGUGGAAUGCGUAGAGAUCCGGAAGAACACCGGUGGCGAAGGCGGUCUGCUGGGCAGUUGCUGACACUGAGGCGCGACAGCGUGGGGAGCAAACAGG
rnacentral:rRNA from 1 species